AAACCCCAUGAGUAAAUUUACAGUUUACCACCUAAUUCGGCCACCUGACC
rnacentral:tRNA from 1 species